CAGGUGCGAGUUUAGCUUUUUGUCUUACCAAUUGUCUCCCAUUUCAAAAUAUGUCAUUAGUUGUGUGUUGUUUUGGGGCUAGGAACACUUUCUAACAUGUCCAAGAAUUACAGUGACAUCAGUUUUAUUACUCAGUCUAGUGUCAAGUGAUUAUUAUGUGAGUUUUCACAACUGAUCUCCUUACACAGGAUUGAUGCUGUUUUGAAUGACAACAUGAUCAUGGAGGGUGAUGCCAAUGACCCCGUUCAACACUUGAGUUGUGAGUAUGCCCGUGGUUCUAUGCCAAAUUAAUCCUCUCAAUUUUGCUUACAAUAAUCUUCUUCAUACCAGCAUUCAACUUAAUUAUUAUUUUUCCAGCAGUACUCACAUCUACACCUAAAAAGGAAAUGCAAGCAUUUACACCAAAGAGAGUAGACGUUCAAAGUUCAGAAGAAAUAGACCUUGAUGAGACAUUCUACGAGCCAGCUGAGCAGGAAGUCAUUAAAGUUGAAAAGGAAGUAAAGACCGAUAAGAAAAAGAACAAGAAACGGAAAAGAAUAGUAUCUCCUAAAAAGUAAGUGCAUCUCAGCUGUCCUUUCCUCUCUGGUAGUAAAUGAUACUGAAUUGGAAUCUCUUACUUCACUCAUAAGCCUCCCCUUUGUUUUCCCAGACAUGUUUGUAAACUUCCUCGCUGUCCGGACCACCAGCCUUUCUUUGAAACAAGUGUCCGAAAACUAAAUAUGUUGUCCCCAAAAACAAAAAAGAUGGGAACUACAAGUCGCAGGACACGUUCACCAAAAGGUUUUUGGUCAUUGGAUAUGCCUAGUACUCAGGAGAUAAGAACACGGAACCAGGAUUGAAAACCAAAUCAAGAAUGUCACUAUGGUUCCUCAUUUAUCAUUUUGUUUGUUUGCAUGUACUCCCAAUUUUAAUUUUGUUUUUAUGCUUCCUUACUCUUAGUCUACCAUCCAAGUAACUGGUCACUAGUUUGUACUCUCUAUGAUCUCUUAUUACCAUUUAUUUCAAUUUUAUUUUGUGUUGGCUAGUAAUUUUUAAUUUCAAAGUGUUGAGCCUAGUCUCAUAGGCAUAUGCUAUUGUCUCGUAAUUUUUAAUUCCAAAGUGUUGAGUUUAGUCAUGUAGG